GCAAAUGUAACAUAUUGUUCAGAAGCAAAUGUGCUAUUUUAGUACUUCCCCGUUCAUGUAAACUGGAUAUAAAUAGCUUGUCCCAGCUGCAAAACACUGAUAAGUAAAGUGGUAACAUCCGACAAUCUGGAUCGAGUCCCUGAAACUCAGGCCAAAGGAGAUUACGAGAAUGUGAAUCAGGACAAGACAACAGUUAGGAACAGGACAUCAAAGGACCCUUUUCAAGUGGCCUGAAGUGGUUGAAGAUGAACCUUCCAUUAAGAAAGCAUGCUGGGACAAAGAUGGAGGUUGGAGAUAAACUUUCCAUCACAAAGGCAUGUUGUGACAAAGAUGAAGGUUGAAGAUGAACCUUAAAUCAAGAAGCCAUGUUUGAACAAAGAUGGGGGUUAAAGAUUGGCUUUACAUCAAGAAGGCAUGCUGGGAUGAGGAUUAAGUUACUGACAUAUACUUUGCAGUGCUGUUCUAUAUUUUUAGAGUUUUAGAUUUACCAUGCCAGGUGUUCUAUAUUUUUACUGAUGUACUUUUGUACUGAUGUACUGGUCACAGUGUUACUGAUUCAAUAUUGAACUUUUAUGUUAAGGUUUGUCUGUCUUAAGAGUUUUUAAGUGGGUUGUUUGCAAUGGGUGCAAGUGAUGGUCUGGCAUUAUUGUCGUAGAAAAGAAAAUUCUUUGGUGUUGGGUAGGUGUUGCGCAUGUAAAGCACUAGAGAUGGGUACUUUUCAGUUGAAACACCUGUCAUGUAAUUGUGGUGCGAACUUGUCAGUUAAAGGAACGGUAAACACCUUGUAAUUCCAACAUUUUUCUACAGUCUUCCAAUAGAUUAACAUCAGCAGAAUCUGUACAUCAUUAGAACAGUAAAAGGGUACAACAUAAAUAAUGAACCUAUAUUGCAUGGUUGUAAUAAAUAGUGCUUAUUUAUGCAUAGUAAAACAACCACAAAGUGUUUACUGUCCCUUUAAGGGUUUCUAAUUGUUGUUGGGCUAUCCAGCUGAUUAAAAGUAAACUGUGAUUGGGGGGCAUCCCUGGACAGUUGUACAGUGGCACAGCUUGCAUCUCAGAUAAAUAGCGAUGGGUAUGGGGAGGUCAUGGUUAAGGGUAUCAGUUGUGGUGGUCAUACUUAAGCUUAAUAGCAACAUGGAGUCCCAUUGGGGUUAAUAAUGAAUGUCAGGGUCUCAGAUAGGGUUAAUAUCUACUGUUCAUGUUUUAAGGAAUACAGUUAAAAAAUAAGGCUCAGUUUGUCUAGUUACCAGCCCUCUCUCAGCAAUCCUCCUGGAGUCCUUCUAUAAUGGUGGAGGAUUGUGCUCUAUUCCACUCUUCUCCACCUAUCACUUCCCUACUAGAUGCCAUUCAUUCUCUCAUCCUAGAAUCUCUAUCUCCACUUCGAUUCCAUGCACUCUCUCACAAUUUUAACUCUUCUCUCUUUAGUGCUAUUGUUCUGUCGUAUUUCUAUCUGUGAUCAUACAAAACCCUAAUACAUUUCCCUUGACCUAACCAGCCUAAUCGUCUUGUGUCCCUUCUGUAUUUUAGACUAAACCCCUCCUAUACUUUAUCUACUCAGAUUCUCUUCUGGACAACCUACAGUUUGACUCCUGCAUAUCCCACAGAAAUAACCCUAACAAUAACCAAAUGUCUUUCACAGAUCAAAAGAAUGUCACUAGACCCUGUUCAUGCUUCUAGACAUGUCUGCUGCCUUUGACUAAGUUGAUCAGUCUUCUACAAAACCUGUAGCAAGUAUCUGAAAGAGAUUUGUUUUAUCUCUGCAACUGGUCCUGUGUUCCUCUCUUCUUCACUUCUUCUUCAUUCAAAAUGGAUCACUUUACCCAAGGGUCCAUGCUACUCAUUCACCCUACACCCUCUAUCUAUGGGAAAUCCUGACAUCACUUGGAUUUGAAUAUCAUUGUUAUGCUGAACACUCAGUUGUAUCUUUCUACACCUCACUGUGUACCUACAACUCAGACAUCUGAAACCAUUGUAUCUUAGGCAGCUCUUUAUUGUAUUAAACCUAAAGAAACAUGUAUGUGUAGUAAUAAAGUGCUCUGAUUUGUUAGCAAAGCUUA